CAAACAUCUGCCUCUGAUGUGGGAAAGCAUAACAAAACAGGAGGUUCUGGAACAGUCCUCAAACAAGCUUCACAAACCUGGAGAUCUGAGUACCGUAAGCUUGAGGUUAGUAACUGUUUCACUGCCGACUAAAGAGAUAACUUCUUUGCAGUAAUUGAGAGUCUGCAAAAUGAAAUGCUACUGUCAUGUAAAACAUCUGACCUUUACAGUUGAGACAACAAGAACGUGCUAAAGUAUGCCAAGAAAAUAUUGCUGUUACAAAGGAUUCAAUAAACU
rnacentral:lncRNA from 1 species